rnacentral:rRNA from 1 species
UACGUAGGCAGCAAGCGUUGUUCGGAAUUACUGGGCGUAAAGAGUGUGUAGGCGGUGCUCUAAGUCUGUUGUGAAAUCUCCCGGCUUAACCGGGAGGGUGCGGCGGAAACUGGAGUGCUUGAGGGUGGGAGAGGUAAGCGGAAUUCCUGGUGUAGCAGUGAAAUGCGUAGAGAUCAUGAGGAAGACCAGUGGCGAAGGCGGGUCUCGUGGACAGUUCCGUGACACUGAGGCACGAAGGCCAGGGGAGCAAACGGG